rnacentral:sRNA from 1 species
CAUUUGCUCUCAGUCAUGUGCAACUAGGUUUACAGUCUACUGAUCUAGUUCGCAUGAAUAUCCUGUUCUGAUGGAUAUUAUGAACACACCAAAUUGCAUCUGUGUCUAUAUGAUGUAUUCAGAUCAAUUUAAUUUACUACAUAGGAUUGCUGAUUGCUUUCUGUAUGACCCAGUUUUCCAUGCUGAACAUGUGCCCAUUAUUAGCUAGUGCUGCUUUCCCAUUUACAUAUUGUUCUGUCUAGAGCUCUUGUUUCGUCAUAUCUGAAGUCACCAUCAACAAAUAAAGACUAGAACUUAUCGCAGACAACAGUCAUACCAUAUUAGAUUUAUCUUAUUGUGAUAGUUCUGGAGUUCUGCUAUGAAUUUUAGGUAGAUUUCUUAUGAGCACAUGUUCAAUGUUCAUUGCUGAAAAAUGCUUAGAUAAUAUUGAACCACUGUGCAAAUUUAUUAUAGCAACUACCAUUAUGGAGUUCAUUUUGUCCAAAGAAAAUACUAUUAACUCCCUUCCGGCAGUAUACAGGCAUGCCAACUCCUUUAAUGGGUGUCUGUCAUACAUGUUUUCAUUCUUCGAGUUGAUAACACCUAAGUGAAGCAAUUAGAGAAAAGGUAGUGCAUUUAU